AAAAUUAGGUAGGCGGAGUAGACAGAGGAGAAUGCUGGGAAAAAGAAGCUGAGUGAGUGAGUCGCCAUGAUGCUCCCACUCCAGACAGACGCAGGUUAAGAUCCUCUCUGAUUUUUCUCUCCUUAAUCCUUGCUGCGCUGUGUCCCAGUAGACUGAUAUCUUAAUGAAUGGUUUGUGAGCCUCAACUGAAAGACACGGCUAAGAGAUGACAGAUGACUAACUGCCUGGAGCUCCCAUCUCUGUGGCUUUCCAAGUUGAUGGACCUAUAUGUACUUCAAACUGUGAAAAAAAAAAACUUUAAAAAUCUAUCUUUUCUUAAAUUGCUUUUUCAGGAUAUUAAAGCAGAUGCUAUGGCAGGGAACACUUAGAGUAAGAAAGGGCAGUGGGAAGGACCUCAGGAUGCUAUUCAGUAACCCAGUGACCCUAUGCUGGUCUGAUGUGCCAUCAAACGUGCCGUUGCUGUGCUGACACUUGCCUUAGCCUGUUUGCCCGAGCUCGUGUUUAACUGAAAGUCAUGGUCUCACCACUAGUGAACAGCAAGGUUGAGGUACAGUGCACUCUGAUUCUAAGGAUGUCAAUGCUUCCAUACUUGGGAGGACUUGAGAGAUAUUUAAACAUACAUUUGCUUAGAAAGUAGGUAUGUGGAGUGUGUAUUCUUUAAAGGAAAAGCAAGACAGGGAGGAGAUCAUGCUUUGACAGUCUCGUUCUUUCUUAGGACUUUAUGGUUUUUCUCUCUCUGAUAUUCAGCUCCUGACCUCAAACUUUUCCUCUUUUGACUUCCCUGUGGGCCACAGGAGAUAAAUAGUUUCUGUGUACUCUCAGCUCUUUUCAAUGUCCUAAAUCCAGGACAAGACUAUGCAAACACCAUCCUAAAAAAAUGUUAAAAUCUUCAACCACAAAAUGUAAGCUUAUUCUCUGUGAAUUUCUAGUAGGUUUCUAAGGAGAUAACAGAAAGCUACCUAGAUUCCACUCAUAGGCUCUUCUGAGUAUGACUGUCCCCUGGGUGUCCCCUAUAGUGAGCUGCUCUAACGUAGUAGUCACUCGUAAAGCUCACAGCUCACAACGAAGAGAGACCUCCCUUUUCAAAGGCUGACAGUUGGAGUGUGUUCUCCGCCUCCAUCAGACCACUCUAAAGACAAAGGGAAUUUGGUAGAAACCGGGACCUCAGUUUUCAAGGAUCAAAAGAACGAUGUGUAGUGUCCCUGAUCUGGCUGAGACUGGGUAUAAGUGAAGUGUGGCCAUCAGAGGAGGGCACAUACUGAAAAAAACAGUGGAGCCAAGUCACGUACACAGGAGAAACGGGGACAUUCGUUUAGUCAAAAUGUACUAAGCUUGGUUUGGUGGCACAAGAUUUUAAUCCCAGCUCUUAAGAGGCAGGGGCAGCUGUUGUGGGUUAUUUGUACUCUGUAUGAAGAUAUAUUACUAUGAUUUGUGUAAUAAAAAGCUGAAUGGGCCAAUAGAUAGGCAGAAGAUAUAGGCGGGACUUCUGGGCAAGAGGAAGUGGGAGGAAGAAAGGUUGAGCCCCAGCCAGACGCAGAGGAAGCAGGACGUGCAGGAGGAAAGGUCACAGUCUCGAGUCACAUGGCAGGAUGUAGAUUAGUAGAAAGGGGUUAAUUUAAGUUACAAGAACUAGUUAGGAACAAGCCUAAGCUAUAAACCAAGCUUUUAUAAUGAUAAGAAGUAUCCAUGUCACUAUUUGGAGCUGGCUGGUGGGACAAAGGUAGACUCAUUACGGCAGACGUUUUUCUGUAAAUUCAAGCCAAGUCCAUUUUACCUAAUGAAUUACAGGACAACCAGGGCUAUAUAGUUCAACCCUACUCCCAAACAAAUGUCCUGAGAUCCCAGUACCUGGUUGAGGUACUCAUCUAUAUCUGUAUCAUCUGUAUUUAUAUCACAUACAUUUUUAUCUAGACCCAUCUGUCUAACAUCUAUUAUCUUUUUCUCCUGUUUUUCUUUUUUCUUUGCCUUCCUUUCCUUCUUUCUUUCUUAGUAACUAAAACAUUGCCCAGGAGAGGUUCACAAUCUAGUUAUAGAAAGGGACAAUGUAUAUACUAAAUACUAUAAAUUAUGCAUUCUAAGGAAAUCCAUGCAAAACAAGCAAGCGUACUGUAAAGCAAUGACUAGGAGUGGGGUAAUGCAAAAUGCAGUUAAAAAUCAGAUGAUCAUGAUGGCUUUUUGGAUAAAAUGAGGUAUGAACAAAGACUCAAGGAAAUCAAGAGAUUGAUUGGCGUGUGAUAUUGAAGGAAAGUGUAUACUAGGUAGCAUUAAGGUAUUAAAGCGAGCCUGUCUAAUGGGUUUGAAAACUUGCAGCAAAGCUGGACUGACUGAAGCUGUGUGACAGAAAGGAAGAAGAGCAAGAAAGAAGGGGCUGAAAAGGAGCAAGCGGCUUGUCAAAUUGGGCACUGUAGGCUACAGUUCUCACUUUGAACUCAGAGGAAAGCACUGAGCCUUUGUAAAGCAAUGAACAGAUAUAUUACCAUAUAUCUAUCCAUAUAUCUAUCUCCUGUUAUGUUUGGAGAAGACCACAGUACAGCAAGAGAAGAAGCGAGGUGUCCUUUAAAUGCUAAAGCCACCAUCAAAGCAAGAAAGACAGUGGCUUGCAAUGAAGAAUCAGCUAUGGAGAGGAUGAGGAUCUGACUCUGGGUAUAUUCUGCAAGUAGGAACCCCAAGCAUAUGGAAGGUUUGGAUAUGAGAUGGACUAGGAAGAAUGGGGAACGUGCUCUAUGCUAGCCAGAGGAAGUAGUGUUGGAAGUGGUUUGGAAAAGCUGGCGUCAUCUCUCUCCCUGUCCCCUUCUUUCCUUCCUUUCCUCACCUACUCUCCCUCUCCCCCUCCCUUUUGGUAGUCUUCCCUCUAUCUGUUUCCUCGUUUACUUCUUUCUUUUCCCCCAGACAUUCUUGUAAAUGUCAGACAUUAUUCCUGGAGAUAACACAAACAGAAAGCAACCCCUCCGCAUGUAGAACAUAAAUGACAAAUGGAGGAGAGAUGUAGACUUGAUGGGGAGAAACUUGCCAGAUUACUACCACCUUAAAAAUUUUAGACUUUUAUAUUAGCUGUUUGGAAUAAGAAACAUUUUAAUUGUAACUCUGAAAAUGGAACAAUAUUUAUAUAUUGAUCAUACUUCAAUAGCCCAGUUAAAACCAGCUUUAGCGUUCCAUUGGUAAACUGUUUAUUCUCCUCACCAUAUUAUACAGAACAAUCCAGAACAAUCCCAGAUGAAUAAAACACUGACUCUUGUGUUCCAGACGAAGUAGGUCUUUGUUUCUUUAUCUACUAGACAACAUAGAUACUGAUGGACUCAGCAGACCACACAACUUAUUGGUUUUCUCUAGAAAAUGUGAAGUCAAGUGGUACCCAGGUAGAAAAGGUAUUCUCAGGUACAAAUAAAAGCAGACUUGCAUUACUUAGUGAGGUUAGUGUUUAAAACUUUAGGGGUUGCUUCUUACUACGUGUGUGAAUCUUGGCUAGUCAUUCGACCACUCUGUCUGUGUCUCAGUUUCCACAACUUUUAAGGAAAAAAAAAAAACAUUUUCUGUCUUACAUCAGUAGUAAGGAUUAUGCAAGAUCUCAAAGUCCUUUGGAUGCUGUCACUAUGGCAAGCCCUCAGUUGUUGCUGUACCUUCAUAAACUGGAACUGUCUUCUCCAUUCCUGCAGUGACUUGAAUAAAAAUGGUCCCCAUAGGCUCAGAGGGAGCGACACUCUUAGGAGGUCUGACUUUGUUGGAGUAGGGGGUGGCCUUGUUGGAGGAAAUGUGCCACUGGGGGGUGUGGGCUUUAAGGUUUCAACUGCUGAAGCCAGGCCCAGUAUCUCUCUCUCUUCUGCCACCUGCUGAUUCCAGGUGCAGAACUCUGGGUUCCUUCUGUAGCACUGUCUACCUGAUUACCAUCAUGAUGACAAUAGACUAAACUUCUGAAACUGUAAGUCAGCCCCAGUUAAAUCCUUUUCUUUAUAAGAGUGGCUGUGGCCAUGGUGUCUCUUCACAGCACCAGCAAGCCUGACUAAGACAGCUCCCCAGAGCGUAUUUGCAUAUUGGAGAUUGCACACCACCCCCAUACCACCUCUUUCAUCAGCUAUUUGUUCAAGGAGAGAGCAGAGAGGGAAAGCAGAUAGUAACAAUGACACAAAUGUUCAACACAAACGGCUAAGUCAGGUAAGUCAUUAAGCAACAGACUUGGAAGAAAUGUCUUUUGCAAUAAAAAUGCUCAUAAAGCAAAAUCUAUAUGAAUACAGACAUUUGGAAGACUUGGAGCCGCAUGUUUUUUUUUUGUGUGUGAUUUUGUGUGAAUCAUCACCAAAAUAUGAGCAAACAUUUGUCUGGGCUAUGAUGCGCAUUUUCUUUAGGGGGCGAACGUUCGGAUUUCAUUCACUUCAUUCCUCAUGCACAUCUGUUGUCCAAGAGUAAAGUGGCACUAGUGGAGCUGAGGACUUAAUUUCUGAGACUUAGGCUGCAUACUUCUUUUUUAAUAAUUAAGGCAUAUAUAAUAUACUAUUGUUGAUCAACCAAGUGAUAUACGUACUGAGGAAAGAUGGAUGGGCUAGCCUGAGCUUACCCGCCAAGGCUGACUGCUUUCCACAGAACCUACACUUUGCUGAACAAUUUUGCCGGAGUCAUUUAUGAUUGCAUAAAUAAUUAGUAAUGGUUUUAAAAUGGCUUUGCAAAAAUUUUGAUUCCAUGUAGACUUCCAAUAGACUAAUUUCCACAAUAUUCUGACAUAUUAUUUCUUAUUUCUGAGAAUUGGUGCUCAUGGCAUAGCUCUGACUAAUAAAUAUAUAGUCAAAGCAUGGGUAAGAAUAUAGGAAAUAAUUGGAAAUUUUCUCCAGACAUGUCAGCAACAUGUUUUCAGCAUCUGCUGUACUGAGCUAUACUGUAAUGUACAAUACAAGUUCACUUUUUUUUUAAAUGAACCUUUAAAGCAUUUUUAAAAUGAAGACUUUAUGGCAUCACAAUGAGGGAUGACAUUUAGAAAGUUUAGGCCCUAACAUUUACAUGUAAUGGUGCGUGCUGUUUAUAUCGUAUGAUCAGGUUACAAACUGCCACAUAUAUUGGAUGACCAGGUUGCAAGCUGGCUUUUGUGUUGGUUUGUUGUUGUUGUUGUCAUUUGUUUGUUUGUUUUGCCUUCUGGAUGACUUACCAAACUUACUCAGCUCAGACCUUCACAGGCAGGUUUUGUAAAGGAGCGUCUGCCCGGAAUGUGUGCAAACAUGUUCCCCGAGCGUCCACAUACAUGGAUCAUGGCAUCUUCUCUUUUCCACCCUGGUGCUUCCAAAGGGCAGCAGCAUCACGUCACUGCAAUAAGACCUGGGCUGUGAGCGCUGAAAAGGCCUUCUGAGUUUAGGAGUCAGUGAGAAGAAUUUCUGCCUGUGCUCUGGGGUUGCACCUCCCAGAGCAGCAGGAGGACAGAUCUGCAGCCAGCUAAAGGAGAGAAGAUGGCUGGAGAGCGGGGCUUGCAGGAGGAACAGUGAGGUGCUUGUGUACGUGGUAUGUGUGUAUGUGUGUGUGUCUGUCUGUCUAACCAAAAAGUGGAAGUAAAAAAAAAAAAAAGGAGAGAAAAGGGUUUAAUAUGCUGUGCAGAGGCAGAGCAGAUCCAAGAUUUAUCUUUUAAACAAAAAUUUAAAAGAUCAAUUUCCACCAGACGGGAAGUUGCAGGCACCUGGUUUUAAACCAUUAGCAACAGCUGGUUAAUGCCAAUACAGCUAUUAUCGUCGAUAAUGGUGACGCUAAUACCUAGAAACCCUGGUUUACAGUAAAAACACAGGGCUUCUUUGUGCUGACUCCUCUGAACUAAUGUCUUUAUUUUUUGUUAUUUAUUUAUUUAUUUAUUUAUUUAUUUAUUUAUUUAAUUUUUUAGCCAUUAUUGCUUCUUUGUUUCCUGGUGCCUUUAUCCCAUACUCCAGGCUACAGUUUCCUCACACAGAAGUUACAACAUUCCAACCCUGUUGCUGAGUUGAAUUAUCUUCACUAAUAAAAGGCAGAUUUUUUUUCUCCAGUUCUUCUCUUCUGGAGUCUCAUUGCUAUUAAUUGGUCAACUUACUAUCAGAUACGUUUUCUUUGAAAAAGAAAAGACAUACCUGCUGAAAUAUGGCUGUGUUCGCCUGGAUUUGAGACAUCUUAGUGUGCCUGGCCACAGCUUUCACACCCUGAGUCAGUUCCGACUCUCUUCACCCACUUGGACCGUCUGCUACUAGACUGUCGUGCAUGGCGAACAUGUACAUGAUUUAGCAUUUUAUUUCACGUUUAGGGCCAUGGCUUCUAUUUGUCUCUUCUAAAGCUUUAUUUUGAUGUCCUAAUUCAAGCGCUUUGUGACUAAACUGCCUAGCACUUACAGAUCUCUUCCUCUUACCCCAAUUCUUAUUGUGAUGCAAAUAAUUCAGGGCCUCGAAAAAGAACUCAGCUCUUAGUGUCUUUAAAAACCACACCAACCAACCAACCAACAAAAAGCCAACCAACCAACCAAACAAACAACAACAACAAAAAAAACCACCCACUACUUGAUAUUUUUACCCAUGAUGGAUUUUAGUUGUUUUCAUACCCCUCUCCCCUUUUCUACCCCCUUCCUUCUAGAACCUUCCUGAUAACCCUCCCAUUCCCCACUCUCCUGUCUUCUCCUUUUCUCUGUAACCUGCUGUGUAUAGGCAGAAUUUCUUCCUUGAGCAUGGCUGGAAGGUUAUUUACUGGAAUGAGAGCUACUUACCAGUGGCUACACUGCUCAAGAAAAGGAUGCUCCCUUUCCUGACAUGGUAGCCCCCAGCAGUCCUUCAGUGAGUGAGUGUCCCUAAUGGUCCCACCCCAAGCCACAGGGGAAUGAUGACAGAGUCAAUCUUAGGCACACUGGCAGGCAUGGAGCAGGUAAAUACAGCUGCACCUACUCCAUCAGUGCAAUGGCUCUGAUAUCUGUCACUGAGAGUCAGAGAAUUGCUGAGGCAGUGGUACACCAGAACUCGAUCUUGUCAAAGAUUAAACUUUCUAGAAUUCUCUAAAAAACAAAACAAACCUGUUAGGCCAAAGUGUGAUAUCAGCCAGGCAUGGGGAGAAUAUUUACACCAUGACAAUAAACCCACAUUGCAGACCAGGGUUUUUGGUUUUGUCUGGGGCCAAGGGAAGGGAGUAGAAGGAAAAAAUAGCUUGCUGGCACACUACACAAUCAACUUUCUAAUCGCACUAUUUGUACACGUUUUCGUGUCCCUACUAUAUAGCUCCCCAGCAUAAACCAAAAUGCUCCCAAGACUGAGUGAUCCUUUUAAGAAAUGGAAUUCCAGCACUGACAUGUAUCCACACGUACAGGUUAACUUGCGAGUCUCCAACAGCACACCGUCUCUCUUUACAUCUUCAACUGCUCCUAGUGCGCAGCCCGGGGUGCCGUAGAAGGUAUGUAUAUUCUCCUAGUUCUCUCUCCUUUUGUUGUUCAGGCUCCACAGGGCCCUUUAACUUCGUGACUAACAUGCUGAACUUCAGGGUUGUUCCUCAAACAUCUCGUGUAUAUCUUAUCUUUGCAACUCACUAGAGGCCUCCAUUCUGCCUUGUGUGGCCCGAGCUGCCAGAAGUACUUUCCACAGCAGCGAGGCCCUUGCGGCCUUAGUAACCCUCCUUUAUCCACUUUUAAACUGUGGGUUAGUUUAUCUGCCUCUGCAUCAUACAGCAAGAUGCUUACGUUUUAAUUUCUCCCCUUCAGUCCAGCUUCCAGAUUUUCAAUUUCCAAAAGCUGCUCCAUGUUUUCUUUGGUGCUGUCAUUAACAGUAUACUUAAUUCUUAAAGCUCAAUCGGGAGGGGCAUUCUCAAAAGCGUGUGUCUAUUUACCCUGGGCCUGGGCCCUGGACUGGGUCUUCACCUCUACGUCACAUACAUACAGUCUUCUGUCUUUGACAAGGAACAGUAGUGAAGCUGAGUCUAAAAUCACCUCUGCUGCGUUGCCUGUUGCAUUUUUAUCAGCCAAUCCGUCUUUGAUAUUUACUCUCUGUCCAUUCAGGUUUAUUUUAAAAAAAGAAACUCUUUGCAAGCAACCUUUAUUUCUUCCUUAUAAUGUACUGUGUGUAUACAUCGCCUGGCUUCUUCCUUCCAUCCUCUUUUUCUAUUCUACUUCUCGUCACUAAAAUAUUGAUUCAAAUAGGCACAGCUUUUCCAGUCAGCUGCCGAGUUUCCUGCUUUGCGCAUGGGCGUUCACAGUGAACCAAGGGUUUGAUCAUCACCUCUAUGUUCUCUACUCCAGCCCGUGUGCUUUCUAAUAACACUGCCUAUACAGGAAAAGUGCGUGCUGUUGCACAUCCCAGAGGUCCACCGGAAGGGACGCACAAUGGAAGCAACCCACAGCCCCGCAAUUCCAGACCGAAGACCUGGGUCCACAGUCUUGACUUUAGUGCUCAUAACAAGCAGUGACCUCCUCAGAUGAGUAAUUUGAAUCACCCAGGCAUCAGCGUUCUCAUCUGUAUAGUAUAAGAAAACAGCGUUGUCUUUCUACCCCUUCCCAGUAGUUCCCUACUUUCUGUCUUAGUUGGGGUUUCUGUUGCUGGGAUGAAGCAUGCCAGGAUCAAAGAGCAACUUGGGGAGGAUAGGGUUGUUUUUGUUGUUGUUGUUUUUGCUUUGCUUUUGGUUUAUGCCUCCAUAUCACUGUUUAUCAUUGAAGGAAGUCAGGACAGGAACUCAAACAGGAAAGGUACCUGGAGGCCUAGAGGCAGGAACUGAUCCAGAGGCCCUGGAGGGGUAGGGCUUACUGGCCUGCUCCUCAUGGCUUGCCCUUUCUGCUUUCUUUUAGAACCCAGGACCAACAGCCCGGGGAUGGCAUCACCCACAAUGAACCUAUCCAUCAACCAUUGAUUAAGAAAAUGCUCUACGGGCUUGCUUGCCUAUAACCUGAUCUCAUGGAGGCAUUUUCUCAAUUGAGGCCCUCUCCUCUGAGGACUCUGGCUUGGGUCAAGUUGACAUACAACUAGCCAGUACAAGUCCUGAGCCUAUGAAUGUUCUGCCUUAGAAGCCAGAGAAGGCAUAGAGGAGCCAUGUAAACUUCAUGUAGGAGAAACAACUUUCUGACUGCAAACUCAGCUUCUGGGUCUGCCUCCAAAGUAUGUUCCUCACGUAGCACACGUGACAACUUGCUAAUUUUUCCUACUUCCUCACAUACUAAUAGAGAGGUCAAAGUGGGGACUCUCCUUCUUGCAUUUUGGUAAAGCUUUUCUACUUGGCUCUACAAGAUUUUUGCCUAAGGUGCGAUAAACGAAGGAGCUUCAGAUAUCUUACUGCAGAAUUCAAAUGCUGAAGCAAGGCCUGGACUACAGGCAUGCGUAACCAAAGCCAUGGUGCUUUUAGUGCUACCAGCGUUGGGUUACAGCAGUUCUGGGAGGCUGAGCUGUUUUGUUUCCAUGGCUUAUUAAGCCAAACUAAGACUGAUGUCAAUAAUCAAAUUCACCACCUGUAUCCUUGUGUCUUCCCCUAAAAGUAAAAACAAACCUUAGAAAAAGAAAGAUGAAAAUGAGUCUCAAAAACCCUAAGUCCAUAAGGCUAUUUCUGGCCACAAAGGAAAUUAACACACCUGAAAAAGGAUUGUUUAUUACUAUUUAUUAUUAUUGCUAUUACUAUUAUUAUUAAGAAUUUAUUUCCUAAAGGAUCUCCAGCCAUGGCUUCCUCUGUCAGUUGACUUCCUAGCUUGUUUGCUAAUUCCCAGCCCUCAACUGUUGCACUAGCCUUUCCUGUCGCAAAUUACGGUUUGGGGCGUUUGAACCGAUCCUAAACACAUCCAGACCGACCAGAACAGGAUCCAUUCAGUGUGGUCCCCCGGUGUCUCAGGCAAGAAGGCAGCAAGGUCGAAAAGAAGAGAGAAGGGCUUCCACCGCCUUUUCCCUAGAGGAGACUGUCGGGUUGGGGGCUAACUGAGCAUCCUAGACAGGGACAGGUGGGGCAGGAUGCAAGGGCGCCAGACACAACUCUCAGGAACGACCCAGAAAGGGAGGUCAGGAAGCUCGCCCAGCAGCUUUCAUCAAGAAAUGAGGUAGAAAACAGUCCGAAGGGGAUGGCAGAGCAGUUAACACAGUGCCUUCUAUCGCUGUAGAGGUAAAGGAGUACUGUCGAAAAGCUCUUCUCUGCCACCCCGCUUCACUGCGGUGAUAUACAAACACAGACGUUCACACGCUCUGGAUCCAGAUCUGGGAUCUUCAGAGGCACAUGCUCAAACAGGGGCUCCCAGCCUUCCUACUGCUGCGACCCUUUCAUCCAGUUCCUCAUGCUGUGCUGACUCCCAGUCAAAGAAUCAUUUUCCUUGCUACUUUGUAACUGUAAUUUUGCUAUUGUUACAAAUUGCAAAGUAAAUAUCUGUUUUUCCAUGAUCCUAGGCAACCCCUUGUGAAAAGGUCACCGGACCCCCCAAAGAGUCACAGGCCACUGGUUGAGAACUGGUCUAUGACUCUGUCAGAGACUGAAAACUUCAGGAGUAUUUUUUUUCAAAGGGAAGAAGCAGGAAGGAAAACAGAAAAGUGGAAGAGGAGAAAGAAUGAGAAAGGGGCAAAGGGAGGAAGAGAUGGAAAGAUCCCAUUAUGAAGUAAACUUAUUGGUGGAUUUUUAAACUGACAAAGCAAAAUGAAAAACCAAAAUCAAGCAAAAUAAACCAAACGCUCCACGUUACAGAUAAACAAUAUUCUCUCAAGAUACAGCCCAAACCCCACAUGGGUACUUAGCUGCCUUUCCACUGUUACAGGAAGGCAGGUUAGAGGCACACUUCACACGCUGCACUAAACAUCCCUUCUUUAUCUCACUUAGGAGGUGCAUCUUAAUUUGAAGAGAGAAAGGAGGGAGGCGUGGGUUCCACCUAUAGCACAACUUAUGUUUUGGAAAGAAAUGCCGUUUACUGCGUCUUCCUUUUUCAAAAGGAAAUUGUUCUUCGGAUAAAGAGCGGGCAGCCUUCC